AGCCCUGGAGGUGGAGAUUGCAGUGAGCCGAGAUCGCGCCAGUGCACUCCAGCCUGGCGACAGAGCAAGGUUCCAUCAAAAAAAGAAAGAAAGAAAGAAAGAAACCGGCUGAGCAGCGCGGGCCAUCCGGCAGCCGCGGGUCCAGCUCCGGUCGCAGCAGCUGGGACCCACACCAGGCCAUUCGCUGGGCCGCCAUAGGGCAGCUGCGUGCAGUGUUUGGGUAGUAGGAUGCAGACAGCGGGGUCGCGGGGGCUUCGGGGUGUCCUCUGCCCCAGGCCGUCCAGCCCUGUGGACCUAAUGAAGUCCGGCACGCCACGUGUUGAGGUAGUGGUGGGUGACCCUCGGCGCGAGGUCAGCGCUCCUGCAGGCGGCGCUCACGGUACGGGCUGGCGAAAGUGGAGACGGACCGCAGGAUGGAUUCACUUGGCCACUGGGCCGGGAGCUGGGAAGAGAGACACCGGCUGGGAAAGGGUUUCUUCUGGCCAUAAAAGCUACUCCAGUGGCUGUGGGAGACUAAAUUCCAAUUCCAUUGGAUACAGCCAUCAAUCUCCGGCUAGCUGUAGGAUGGUGUGCUGCAGUUCACAGACCUAAGUCAAUGUUAGUCUACCACUGUACAUCUGGUAACCUCAAUCCCUGCAGUUGGGGCAAAAUGGGAUUCCAGGUCUCGCCAACCUUUGAAAUUCCAAUUACAUUUGAGAGAGCUUUUAGGAGGCCAUACGCUGAUUUCACCACCAGCAACUUCACAACCCAGUACUGGAAUGCCAUCAGCCACCAGGCCCCUGCCAUCAUCUAUGACUUCUAUCUGUGGCUCACUGGAAGGAAACUCAGCUACUGAAGGAAGAUAUCCUCAUCAACCCAAUUUUACAAAUGGAGAAAUAGAAGCUAAGGGAAGAAUCUGAAGUAGUCUCAAAGGAAGUGACAGGAAGGAUGUGGAGAAAGCAGAGUGUCAAAGUCAGUAUUCAGGACCAGAUUUACUGCCACCUAGAGAUGAAUGAAGACAUUAGAGGGAACACAGUGUGCUGAUGCUACGUCAGCCGUCACCACCUAGCUGUGUGACAUAUGACAUAGUCUUUCUCUGUCUCACUUGAAUAAUAAUAUGUGUCGGAGGAGACAUUAUUGUAAUUGCCUAAAGCAAUUCUUGGGAUCAAGAAUCAGAAGCAUGAACAGUAUUGCCCUCUGUGUUAGCCCCUUUAUGAGGGAGGGAGUCGUCUUCAGCAUGUUGAAUUGUCAUCUUUAUUAGCAGUGCAAAUGACUAAAACUUAGCCAAUGUAGAGUUUAUCCAAAUUUUUUCAGACCUCAUUUGGAGCUCAUAACUCAGUUCUUGAGCAAAGGGAGAAGAAAACAUUGUGAUUGUGGGGAAAAUGUUUGUAUGGGACUUAUUAAGUAAAGAUAGGAAAAGAAGAACACCCAAAUAUUAUAGGCAGAAAUGCUAAAGGUUUUAAAAUGUAUCAGGAUUGGAAGAAGGCCUGGAUAAAGAAAAAAGUUCAGUCAGGAAAGAGAAACACGAAGGAAGAGACACAAUAAAAGUCAUUAUGUAUUCUGUGAGAAGUCAGACAGUAAGAUUUGUGGGAAAUGGGUUGGUUUGUUGUAUGGUAUGUAUUUUAGCAAUAAUCUUUAUGGCAGAGAAAGCUAAAAUCCUUUAGCUUGUGUGAAUGAUCACUUGCUGAAUUCCUCAAGGUAGGCAUGGUGAAGGAGGGUGUAGAGGAGACACAGGUACAAUGAACUGACCUAGAUAUAAAGCCUUACUAUACACUCAGCUAGAAAUAGUGAUUCUGAGGAUACACUAUGACAUGAUUAUGUCAUUAUGUGUAUGGUAGUGAUGGGGAUGAUAGAAGGAAGAACUGAUGGCAUAUUUUCACUCCCCCUCAAAAUCAGUUAAAUAUUGGGACACUAACCAUCCAGGUCUAGAAGAGUCACAUGCCAUAGCCAUGGUAUUGCGCAUCAUUCAUCUUGCUUUCUUUGAGAAUAAGAAGAUCAGUAAAUAGUCCAGAAGUGGCAAGCUUUGUCCAGGCCUGUGUGUGAACCCAGUGUUUUGUUUAGAAAUAGAAAAAGUAAGUUCAUUGCUAUAGCAUAACACAAAAUUUGCUUAAGUGGUGGUCAGAAAAUCCUUGAAUGCUGCUUAAUGUGACAAGGUUGGUAAAAUCCUUUGUGCAACACUCUUACUCCCUGAAUGUUUUGCU